rnacentral:rRNA from 1 species
UAGGGAAUCUUCGGCAAUGGACGAAAGUCUGACCGAGCAACGCCGCGUGAGUGAAGAAGGUUUUCGGAUCGUAAAACUCUGUUGUUAGAGAAGAACAAGGACGUUAGUAACUGAACGUCCCCUGACGGUAUCUAACCAGAAAGCCACGGCUAACUACGUGCCAGCAGCCGCGGUAAUACGUAGGUGGCAAGCGUUGUCCGGAUUUAUUGGGCGUAAAGCGAGCGCAGGCGGUUUCUUAAGUCUGAUGUGAAAGCCCCCGGCUCAACCGGGGAGGAUCAUUGGAAGCUGGGAGACGUGAGUGCAGAAGAGGAGAGUGGAAUUCCAUGUGUAGCGGUGAAAUGCGUAGAUAUAUGGAGGAACACCAGUGGCGAAGGCGGCUCUCUGGUCUGUAACUGACGCUGAGGCUCGAAAGCGUGGGGAGCAAACAGG